rnacentral:rRNA from 1 species
CAUGCAAGUCGAACGAGAAUCUACUGAAAGAGUCUUCGGACAAUGGAAGUAGAGGAAAGUGGCGGACGGGUGAGUAACGCGUGAGGAACCUGCCUUGAAGAGGGGGACAACAGUUGGAAACGACUGCUAAUACCGCAUGAAGCAUAGGGGUCGCAUGAUCUUUAUGCCAAAGAUUUAUCGCUUCAAGAUGGCCUCGCGUCUGAUUAGCUGGUUGGCGGGGUAACGGCCCACCAAGGCGACGAUCAGUAGCCGGACUGAGAGGUUGAACGGCCACAUUGGGACUGAGAUACGGCCCAGACUCCUACGGGAGGCAGCAGUGGGGAAUAUUGGGCAAUGGGCGCAAGCCUGACCCAGCAACGCCGCGUGAAGGAAGAAGGCUUUCGGGUUGUAAACUUCUUUUAAGAGGGAAGAGCAGAAGACGGUACCUCUAGAAUAAGCCACGGCUAACUACGUGCCAGCAGCCGCGGUAAUACGUAGGUGGCAAGCGUUGUCCGGAUUUACUGGGUGUAAAGGGCGUGCAGCCGGGUCUGCAAGUCAGAUGUGAAAUCCAUGGGCUCAACCCAUGGACUGCAUUUGAAACUGUAGAUCUUGAGUGUCGGAGGGGCAAUCGGAAUUCCUAGUGUAGCGGUGAAAUGCGUAGAUAUUAGGAGGAACACCAGUGGCGAAGGCGGAUUGCUGGACGAUAACUGACGGUGAGGCGCGAAAGUGUGGGGAGCAAACAGGAUUAGAUACCCUGGUAGUCCACACUGUAAACGAUGAAUACUAGGUGUGCGGGGACUGACCCCCUGCGUGCCGCAGUAAACACAAUAAGUAUUCCACCUGGGGAGUACGAUCGCAAGGUUGAAACUCAAAGGAAUUGACGGGGGCCCGCACAAGCGGUGGAUUAUGUGGUUUAAUUCGAAGCAACGCGAAGAACCUUACCAGGGUUUGACAUCC